rnacentral:rRNA from 1 species
CUGCCCGGUGAAGUAUUUUAACGGCCGCGGUACUCUGACCGUGCAAANGUANNAUAAUCAUUUGCCUUAUAAUUGAAGGCUAGUAUGAAUGGUUUGACAAGAAUAUAGCUGUCUCUUUACAAUUUGAUAGAAUUUUAUAUUUAGGUGAAAAAGCCUUAAUAAAAUUAAAAGACAAGAAGACCCUAUCGAGCUUUAAAAAAUUUAAUAGGUGUAAAUUAACAUUAUGAAAAACACAACUGUUAAGGAUUUUGGUUGGGGCGACUGAGGAACAUAAAAAGCUUCCUUUAAAUUUUUAUAACGUACGGGUGUUGAUCCAAAGCUUUUGAUUAAGGAAAUUAGUUACCGUAGGGAUAACAGCAUUAUCUUUUUUGAGAGUUCUUAUCGAAAAAAAGGUUUGUGACCUCGAUGUUGGACCAGAAUGUCCUAAAGAUGUAGAAGUCUUUAAGGGUUGGUCUGUUCGACCAUUAAAAUUCUA